CACAUGUCAUUCAUCUAAGUCGUUGUAGGGUUUGGAUCCUUGAAAAUGACGUAAGAAUCAACAAACCCAACAGUAUUGUCGUUUCUAGAUCUGAGCUCUCUUAUAUGGAGCCUGCAUAUAGUGAGUCCAUCGACAAGUAUAUGUGUAAGGAUAACUACUAUAUAGAGACAUGUUGGAGUUUAAUAAAAAAUAAAAACAAAUAAAUACUUACAAACAAUAGCAACUAAUGAGGGAUUUGUCUAGAGUG
rnacentral:lncRNA from 1 species